rnacentral:lncRNA from 1 species
CUCGUAGCGGUGAGAGAGUGAGCAGCUCUAAUACUUUGGUUUCUUUUUUCUUAUUACAUCACGUCAUUUACUUCCUUUUUUCUUCCCCCCCUUCUUACUGUUUUACCUCACAGGCUCCGCAGACGUCCUGAAGGUCCCUGAAAGCUGAAUGUGCUGUUUACUAAUCUGCUUGGGCUAGUAGAUUAGUUUGCCCUUUGAGAGAAUACAAAGGAUGAAUAUCUGCAGUAUGGUGUCCUAGCUUUGUUUUUAUUUGCCCUGCGGAGCAGUUGGGCAAACCCUCCCCAGCAUCGUCUUUCCUGGCUUGUAAGAAGAGAGAGUCAUGUAAAUAUGGCAGUGGAAAACAGUGCUUAUGGACAGAGAGAGAAGGCUGGACCAUGAGUUCUCCUCUGUGUACUUUGGUGUGAGUUCUGGCAGUAUAGCAGCAAGUAUGGCACUGGACAAGCGUCAAGGAAGGGACACAGGAAUUCUCACCUCUGUUGUUCCAUGGCAACAGAGGGGCAGUGCGACACAACGAUGUCUGACAUGGAAGUGCGUACGAAGUAAAGUAGACAGUGUUUCCCAGAGAAGUCUGAUAUCGAUAACACUUAAGAAGCUUUGAAAGUUUGGAUAUAAUUCAGGGAUCAUGGACGGUAUCAACAGCCAGACUUGUUAUAAGCUUGCAGAGCAAGUGGAGAUGGUGAAUCAAAAUCUCUUACAUAUUCAAAGGCGUGCUCAUCAGAGAGUUGGAUCAAAGCAUUUUGAUUCCUCAUCUUUCAGAAGAAGAGUAGACACGAGGUGAUGGGAGGCAUUCUUAGACGCAGCUCCGGAGUCCUUCGCAAUUUGCCUGUGAGAACACAGCCUGUUCUGGGCCCAACCUUGAGAGAGAAAGUGUUUGUGAAAUGGGUGGAUUUCUAGAAGUACCUCAGAUCCUGCCAUUACAACAUUUUAGGUGUCAAAGGCAAGGAUGGAUAAAUGUGAAGAAGCUUUGAAAAGCGCCAUUUCAGACGCUGAAGAUGCAAUGCCCUAUUGAGUGAAUAAUCCACUCAAGAAAUGUGGAAGGUAUUUUGUCAACAGCUGGAGUUGAUUCAACAUGGGUUUAACAGGGAGUAGAGGUCAGCAAAUGCUAACUAUGUUUAAGUGGGGAUGUGAAAAUGAGUAUAAUUAAUCUUUUUUUUUUUUUAAUAUAAAUCACCUGGUUAAAGCAAGAGAAUUGGAGGGUAAUUUUGCAAGAUCAGAAGCUAAGCUAAGUGAAAAUUAGGAGAGCGUGUGAAAAAUAUGAAUUUUGAAUUGCGAAGAAUAUUUUGGUAGCAGCAGAACACACCGUGAAGCUAACGUGAGCCCUAGCUGCAGUCUGAGCAGAGUGGAGGACUGACGCACUUAUUUUGGACUGACACUCGGGGCAUCACAGAAGCUGCUUGUCUACCAGUGGGGGAGAAGCGGCAUCCUGCAAACAUCGUCCUGACGUGUUGCUUCAAAACCAGUGCAACAGAGCAAACCUUCAC